rnacentral:rRNA from 1 species
AGUGAACGCUGGCGGUAGGCCUAACACAUGCAAGUCGAACGGCAGCACAGUAAGAGCUUGCUCUUACGGGUGGCGAGUGGCGGACGGGUGAGGAAUACAUCUGAAUCUACUUUUUCGUGGGGGAUAACGUAGGGAAACUUACGCUAAUACCGCAUACGACCUACGGGUGAAAGCAGGGGAUCUUCGGACCUUGCGCGAUUGAAUGAGCCGGUGUCGGAUUAGCUAGUUGGCGGGGUAAAGGCCCACCAAGGCGACGAUCCGUAGCUGGUCUGAGAGGAUGAUCGGCCACACUGGGACUGAGACACGGAACAGACUACUACGGGAGGCAGCAGUAGGGAAUAUGAAGAAAUGGACGAAAGGCUGAAGGAGCAAUGACGCGGGAGUGAAGAAGGGUUUCGGAUAGUAAAACGCUGUUGUAAGGGAAGAAAAAGAACGGUAGUAAAUGAACGUACCUUGACGGUACCGGACGAGAAAGCAACGGCUAACUACGUG